rnacentral:rRNA from 1 species
CAAAGGUAGCAUAAUCAUUAGGGGUUUAAUUGGAACCUGGUAUGAAGGGUUGGACAAAGGAAAAACUGUCUUUGUAGUUAAAGUUGAAGUUUACUUUUAAGUGAAAAGGCUUAAAUAUAUCAAAGGGACGAUAAGACCCUAUAAAGCUUUAUAAAUAAUCUGGAUUUGGCUAAUAUUGGUUUAUAAAGGUUGAGUAUAGUUAUUUUAUUUUGUUGGGGCGAUAUAAGUAUAAGUUUUGUUAACUGCUUAAGAAGCAUACUAUCGUGAGAGAGUUAUAUAAGUGGAUGAUCCUUUUUAAAGAUUAAAAAACUAAGUUACUUUAGGGAUAACAGCGUUAUUUCUUUUGAGAGUUCAUAUCGAAAAAGGAGAUUGCGACCUCGAUGUUGAAUUAAAAUAUCUAUAUAAUGCAGCCGUUAUAAAAGAGGGUCUGUUCGACCUUUAAAUUUUUACAUGAUUUGAGUUCA